rnacentral:rRNA from 1 species
UCCAAGGGAAACCAUAAGUUUUUCGGUUACGGGGAGAGUAUGGUCGCAAGGCUGAAAUUUAAAGGAAUUGACGGAAGGGCACCACCAGGGGUGGAACCUGCGGCUUAAUUUGACUCAACACGGGGAAACUUACAUGGUCCAGACAUCGAUAGGAUAAACAGACUGAUAGAUCUUUUUUGAUGCGGUGAGUGGUGGUGCAUGGCCGUUCCUAGUUCGUGGAGUGAUCUGUCAGGUUUAUUCCGGUAACGAACGAGACUACAACCUUCAUUUAAGAGGCAAAAGCAGGUUUCGUGUCUGGCUGUGCUUCGGUGCAGUCAUUCAUGUCUCUGAAAGAAGAAUAUCCAAGUUCUCAGUUUUCUGGGCAAUCGGGCAACCGAGAACUCAGUUUGCUGUGGAAUGCGGGUAUUUUCUCUUUUGUCAAGCAGUCAUUGGGUAACCUUUGGCUGACUUAUGGAGGGACUGCUGGUGUUACAAAACCAGAGGAAGUGUGGCGCCAACAA